rnacentral:rRNA from 1 species
GGGGAAUCUUCCGCAAUGGACGAAAGUCUGACGGAGCAACGCCGCGUGAGUGAUGACGGCCUUCGGGUUGUAAAGCUCUGUGAUCGGGGACGAAUGGCUGGUGUGCUAAUACCACAUCAGAGUGACGGUACCCGAAUAGCAAGCCACGGCUAACUACGUGCCAGCAGCCGCGGUAAUACGUAGGUGGCAAGCGUUGUCCGGAAUUAUUGGGCGUAAAGCGCGCGCAGGCGGCUUCUUAAGUCCAUCUUAAAAGUGCGGGGCUUAGCCCCGUGAUGGGAUGGAAACUGGGAGGCUGGAGUAUCGGAGAGGAAAGUGGAAUUCCUAGUGUAGCGGUGAAAUGCGUAGAGAUUAGGAAGAACACCGGUGGCGAAGGCGACUUUCUGGACGACAACUGACGCUGAGGCGCGAAAGCGUGGGGAGCAAAC